rnacentral:rRNA from 1 species
UACAGAGGGGGCAAGCGUUGUUCGGAAUUACUGGGCGUAAAGGGCGCGUAGGCGGCCCGCUAAGUCGAACGUGAAAUCCCCGAGCUCAACUCGGGAACUGCGUCCGAUACUGGCGGGCUUGAAUCCGGGAGAGGGAUGCGGAAUUCCAGGUGUAGCGGUGAAAUGCGUAGAUAUCAGGAGGAACACCGAUGGCGAAGGCAGGUCUCUGGGCUGACACUGACGCUCAUGCACGAAAGCGUGGGGAGCAAACAGG